rnacentral:rRNA from 1 species
UACGUAGGGGGCAAGCGUUGUCCGGAUUUAUUGGGCGUAAAGAGCGUGUAGGCGGUUUGGUAGGUCCGUUGUGAAAACUCGAGGCUCAACCUCGAGACGCCGAUGGAAACCAUCAGACUAGAGUCCGGAAGAGGAGAGUGGAAUUCCUGGUGUAGCGGUGAAAUGCGCAGAUAUCAGGAAGUACACCCGUGGCUAAGGCGGCUCUCUAGUACGGUACUGACGCUGAGACGCGAAAGCGUGGGGAGCGAACAGG